AGAGUGAAAGACGGAGGAGAGCAGUGUGGGAGAGGAAUCGGAAAACGCUCGAACGGCGGUGAAUGCGUCGGUGACCUGACCAGUGAAGAAUUCAGACACUGAUGAAUGACCUUAAAAUCCAGAAGGACACAGAGGGGAAAGUGUUUGAAAUACCCUUCUUUGCUGAUUUCAUUGUACCUGUGGACAGGAGACAGACAGCCGGGAUGGGCUGGCACGCACGGAAGGGAAGCUUCUCUGAAAAGGAAGUGCGAUUCUUGCUGGAGCUUAGCGCAGGCGGCAAGGAGUAACCACCACAUCCCACGUUCUGAAGGUUUCCUGCCAAGUUUCCUGGCAUCCAGCCUUGUUAGGCACUGUCUGUAUCCCUCGGUAUGAUGGGCUCCAGGUCAACGACCCCGCAGCAGACACUGCCAGCUUCUUCGCUUACUCGGGAGGGAGAGAGUCACCCUGGCUGCCUCUGCCCUCUGCCAGCUCAGCCGAUGCCACGUUUCAUAGACUGUUACUUCUAAUGCCCCAUGUCCACGUCCCGGUCUCUCCAUUAGACGUGAUGCUCCCAGCUUCAGGUGACAGAAGCCUAACUCAACAUGCUUUCACACAAGUUCUUGUGUUUGCAUGUGAAACAGGGCAGGUGAUCUCGAAGCACAGCGGGAGUCCCUCAGAAGCUUGGUGGGUGUGGGACAAACCUCCCUGAGCCCUGUCACCACGCCCCGUGCACAGUCCUUCCCCCCCAUCCUCUCUAGCUCCCGGCUCCGGGCUCCGCUCUCGGACUUCUCAGACUCACUCUUGGCAAUUACAGACUCAUCCACUUCUCAGGACGGCAUCCUCAGAAAAGGGAAAGGAUCCUGCCGAAUCGCGCAGACGAUGUUGGAACGGUUCCAUUGGCUCUACUGGGCUGUGGCAGGUGCUCGUUUUAAAUCAUCUCUGUAGAGUGUAGGUGAAGGGGCAGGUCUCAGCUCCAUCCCGGAGACAGGUCUGGUGGGCAACAUCAGAAACACUCCC